rnacentral:rRNA from 1 species
UACAGAGGGGGCGAGCGUUAUUCGGAAUUAUUGGGCGUAAAGGGCGCGUAGGCGGCCUGGCAAGUGACGGGUGAAAGCCCUCGGCUUAACCGAGGAACUGCCUGUCAGACUGUUAGGCUUGAGACCGGGAGAGGUGAGUGGAAUUCCCAGUGUAGCGGUGAAAUGCGUAGAUAUUGGGAGGAACACCAGUGGCGAAGGCGGCUCACUGGACCGGUACUGACGCUGAGGCGCGAAAGCGUGGGGAGCAAACAGG